CCUGGUUGAUCCUGCCAGUAGUCAUAUGCUUGUCUCAAGAUUAGCCUGCAUGUGUAGUAUGAACUAAUUCGACUGUGAAACUGCGAAUGGCUCAUUAAUCAGUUUAGUUUGUUUGAUGGUAUCUACUACUCGGAUACCGUAGUAUUCUAGAGCUAAUACGUGCAACAACCCGACUUCUGGGGAUGCAUUUAUUAGAUAAAGGCUGACGCGGGCUCUGCCCGUUGCUCUGAUGAUUCAUGUAACUCGACGGAUCGCACAGCCAUCGUGCUGGCGACGCAUCAUUCAAAUAUCUGCCCUAUCAACUUUCGAUGUAGGAUGUGGCCUACCAUGGUGGUGCGGGUGACGGAGUUAGGGUUCGAUUCCGGAGAGGGAGCCUGAGAACGGCUACAUCCAAGGAAGGCGCAGGCGCGCAAAUUACCCAUCUGACCGGGAGGUAGUGAUAAUAACAUACCGGGCUCAUGAGUCUGGUAAUUGGAAUGGUACAUCUAAUCCCUUACGGGAUCCAUUGGGGGAGUCUGGUGCCAGCGCGCGGUAAUUCCAGCUCCAAUAGCGUAUUUAAGUUGUUGCAGUUAAAGCUCGUAGUUGGACCUUGGGUUGGGUCGACCGGUCCGCCUCUGGUGUGCACCGGUCGGCUCGUCCCUUCUCCGGCGAUACGCUCCUGGCCUUAUUGGCCGGGUCGUGCCUCCGGUGCUGUUACUUUGAAGAAAUUAGAGUGCUCAAGCAAGCCUACGCUCUGGAUACAUUAGCAUGGGAAACAUCAUAGGAUUUCGGUCCUAUUCUGUUGGCCUUCGGGAUCGGAGUAUGAUUAACAGGGACAGUCGGGGCAUUCGUAUUUCAUAGUCAGAGGUGAAUUCUUGGAUUUAUGAAGCGAACAACUGCGAAGCAUUUGCAAGGAUGUUUUCUUAUCAGAACGAAAGUUGGGGGCUCGAAGACGAUCAUACCGUCCUAGUCUCACCUAACGAUGCCGACCAGGGAUCGGCGGAUGUUACUUUUAGGACUCCGCCGGCACCUUAUGAGAAUCAAGUUUUUGGGUUCCGGGGGGUAUGGUCGCAAGGCUGAACUUAAGGAAUUGCGGAAGGGCACCACCAGGAGUGGAGCCUGCGGCUUAUUUGACUCAACACGGGAAAUUCCAGGUCCAGACAUAGUAGGUUGAGACUGAGAGUCUUUCUUGUUCUUGGUGGUGGUGCAUGGCCGUUCUUAGUUGGGGAGCGAUUUGUCUGGUUAUUCGUUACGAACGGACUCGCUGCUCUGCUAUGCGGAGUCCCUCCGGCAGCUUCUUGAGGGACUAUGGCGUUGGCCAAGGAAGUUUGGGCUAACAGGUCUGUGUGCCCUUAGAUGUUCUGGGCCGCACGCGCGCUCACUGAUGUAUUCAAC
rnacentral:rRNA from 1 species